AACGCACAUUGCGCCCUUUGGUAUUCCUUAGGGCAUGCCUGUUCGAGCGUCAUUUAAACCUUCAAGCCCUGCUUGGUGUUGGGUGCCUGUCCCGCUCCCGCGCGUGGACUCACCUCAAAUCCAUUGGCGGCCCCCGCAAGGCCACGAGCGCAGCAGAAACGCAAACUCGUGCGCCGGACCGGGCGGCUCCCAGAAGCUACCUUCACCAUUUUGACCUCGGAUCAGGUAGGGAUACCCGCUGAACUUAA
rnacentral:misc_RNA from 1 species